rnacentral:lncRNA from 1 species
GUUGAGCAGUCCAGUAUGAAACAAUGUCAUUUUAUGAGAUAAUCGAGAAAUUUUUUUUAUUGGUAUCGCAUCCUCGAUCCGAUCGAAAUACCUUUAAAAAUUUUUGAUUUGUUUUUCUACUUUCAUCUGAAUUCUUUGAAUCUUUCAAAAAUUUCAAAUUUGUAUCUUAUAUACAAAGUAGAGACAACUCCUUGAUUAGCACAUCAUAUGGGCUACACACAUCAAAUAUGUACAAGGAUAAAUAUCUCAGUGGUCCUUUUUUCUUGUCCCACAAAAAUAGUUUGGUCAUAUUUUCUCAAAGGGAUGAUGCACAAACUAGAUUUGACUCAACAGUCAAUGAGCCCAAGCCCAUAUUUCUCCAGUUUGUAAAUCAUUUCUUUUCCAAUAUGACUUAGCCUAAGGGUCCACAUAUACUCAAGGUGUAUCUCAAAUUUGGAUCUCUCAAAUCCAAUGGCAUUUAUUACUUACUCAAGUAAGUUCACAUAUGCAUCACUAUGCAAAUGAUAGAGACCAUCUCUAAAAACUAAAUCCAAAUGAUGAUCGUGAAGGAUAGAUACCUAUAGCCACAGCAGCAACUAUUGUUCUAUAACCAAUUCAAGGGUUACUUUCUCAGCCCUCCAUCUUCUCAUCGACUCUACACUAGAGUCCAUAGCUCAACUAGAAGAAGAGAAAAUCGUAAGAAUAACAUUGAGUAAUUACGACAUACCUACUUUAGGUGUGUCUUUAUUUCUUCAAGCUCUCCAAAUAUUUACCUCUGAACUCUUUCAAGAUUUUUUUAUUAUCAAUACUUUGAUCAAUUUAGAUAAGGUGCCAUGAUGGUCUUUUAUAUGGUAGUUUAUCAUAAACUAUCCCUAUAAACUAAUCAGGGAUCGUAGGAUCAAAUGCAUAAGUAAUUUCUUAUGCAUGAUCAUAUCGAGCCAUUCAAGCUCCUUAAUUUUCUUGAUUAUUAUCAAAUAACGAUCAUAGACUGAUUGUCCAUCACGCAUCAUAUGUACUGUGCAACUCUGAUCACCUCACAAUACUUGUAGAUGAAUCAACAUGUCG